ACGAACGCUGGCGGCAUGCCUAACACAUGCAAGUCGAACGAGACCUUCGGGUCUAGUGGCGCACGGGUGCGUAACGCGUGGGAAUCUACCCUCAGGUUCGGAAUAACUCAGAGAAAUUUGAGCUAAUACCGGAUGAUGACGUAAGUCCAAAGAUUUAUCGCCUGAGGAUGAGCCCGCUUAGGAUUAGGUAGUUGGUGAGGUAAAGGCUCACCAAGCCGACGAUCCUUAGCUGGUCUGAGAGGAUGAUCAGCCACACUGGGACUGAGACACGGCCCAGACUCCUACGGGAGGCAGCAGUGGGGAAUAUUGGACAAUGGGCGAAAGCCUGAUCCAGCAAUGCCGCGUGAGUGAUGAAGGCCUUAGGGUUGUAAAGCUCUUUUACCCGGGAUGAUAAUGACAGUACCGGGAGAAUAAGCUCCGGCUAACUCCGU
rnacentral:rRNA from 1 species